rnacentral:rRNA from 1 species
CUCUCGGCAACGGAUAUCUCGGCUCUCGCAUCGAUGAAGAACGUAGCGAAAUGCGAUACCUGGUGUGAAUUGCAGAAUCCCGCGAACCAUCGAGUCUUUGAACGCAAGUUGCGCCCGAGGCCUUCUGGCYGAGGGCACGCCUGCCUGGGCGUCACGCCAAACA